UUCUAACGACUGGAUCUUCUUUGAUUUUGCUGUAUGGGGAUUUUAGCUUCAUCACUCGGACAAAUUUGAUGGUGUACCAUAUGGCUUGUUCCUAGGACCUAAGGAAUUGGAAGAAGUAGGAGGGCUUGAAGAGUUGGAAAAGGAAGUCAACCGAAGAAUUAAAAUUUCUAAGGAAUUAUUAUGAUCAAAAGAUACUUCUAAUAAUAAAAUGCACUUGUAUUUAGGCUCUAGAUCAUUAAUGGGAAAAAGAUAGAAAUAUAUAUACAUAUAUGAAAAUAAUAUAAUGAAACAAGCUUUCUAUGGAAAUUGGAAAGUUCCUAGUCUUCUUUU